rnacentral:lncRNA from 1 species
CAUAUUUAAUCUCUGAUCUAUAUUUCUAUCAUUAUGUUUCUCGUUUUGUUUCUUAAUGAUUAUGAUCGAUGAUCGAUUGUUUGCUAUGAUUUUGUUGCGUUUUGGGUUUGCUAUUUAUUUAGAAAAUGUUGAUUGAAAUUGAGGUUUAGUUAAAUUUGAUAGUAUUAUUAAAGUAAAUAUUAUUUUAAUCAUGUUUGAUUGUUUGUUUUUUAUUGUGCUAUUUAUUUAGAAAAUGUUAAUUGAAAUUGAGGUUUAGUUAAAUUUGAUAGUAUUAUUAAAGUAAAUAUUGUUUUAAUGUUUUAAUCAUGUUUGAUUGUUUGUUUUUUAUUGGUACUUUUUUUGCAAUAUGUUAGCACGUCAAUCACGAUAUUGUUGGAAAUUGGAAUGGAUUGCAUAAUCUGGUCCCUUUGUUUUGUAGUCGUGUCUAGAUAUUGUGAUGAUAGUGGUGCUAGGACAAAUGAAAAUAUCUUAACAGAUGGCACCACUAUAUAUAAUCAAAGAAACUACCGACCUAAAAAUGCAAAUUUUGUCUCAUCGAUCAUUUUAUAUUACUUGAGUUUUGGCAUUAUAUAUUGUAAUGUUAAUG